AGCGAACGCUGGCGGCAGGCCUAACACAUGCAAGUCUAACGAAGUCUUCGGACUUAGUGGCGGACGGGUGAGUAACACGUGGGAACGUACCUUUUGGUUCGGAACAACUCAGGGAAACUUGAGCUAAUACCGGAUGAGCCCUUAGGGGGAAAGAUUUAUCGCCGAAAGAGCGGCCCGCGUUAGAUUGGCUAGUUGGUGAGGUAAAGGCUCACCAAGGCUACGAUCUAUAGCUGGUCUUAGAGGAUGAUCAGCCACACUGGGACCGAGACACGGCCCAGACUCCUACGGGAGGCAGCAGUGGGGAAUCUUGCGCAAUGGGCGAAAGCCUGACGCAGCCAUGCCGCGUGAAUGAUGAAGGUCUUAGGAUUGUAAAAUUCUUUUACCAGGGACGAUAAUGACGGUACCUGGAGAAAAAGCCCCGGCUAACUUCGUGCCAGCCGCCGCCGUAAAAC
rnacentral:rRNA from 1 species